AGCAGCCGCGGUAAUUCCAGCUCCAAUAGCGUAUAUUAAAGUUGUUGCAGUUAAAAAGCUCGUAGUUGAAUUUCGGGAUCAAUACGUCGGUCGUGCUUCGGUACGUACUGGCGUAAUUGAUUUCUCCCUUCUGACGAACCAUGAUGUCAUUAACUUGGUGUCAUGGGAAAUCAGGACUGUUACUUUGAAAAAUUAGAGUGUUUAAAGCAGGCUCACGCUUGAAUACAUUAGCAUGGAAUAAUGAAAUAGGACGUUCGAUCCUAUUUUGUUGGUUUUUAGGAUCAACGUAAUGAUUAAUAGGGAUAGUUGGGGGCAUUAGUAUUCAAUUGUCAGAGGUGAAAUUCUUGGAUUUAUUGAAGACUAACUACUGCGAAAGCAUUUGCCAAGGAUGUUUUCAUUAAUCAAGAACGAAAGUUAGGGGAUCGAAGACGAUCAGAUACCGUCGUAGUCUUAACCAUAAACUAUGCCGACUAGGGAUCGGAUGAUGUUAAUUUUUAAUGUACUCAUUCGGCGCC
rnacentral:rRNA from 1 species